CCUACGGGUGGCAGCAGUGAGGAAUAUUGGUCAAUGGGCGAGAGUCUGAACCAGCCAAGUAGCGUGAAGGAUGACUGCCCUAUGGGUUGUAAACUUCUUUUAUAUGGGAAUAAAGUUCAGUAUGUGUACUUUUUUGUAUGUACUAUAUGAAUAAGGAUCGGCUAACUCCGUGCCAGCAGCCGCGGUAAUACGGAGGAUCCGAGCGUUAUCCGGAUUUAUUGGGUUUAAAGGGCGCGUAGACGGAUGGUUAAGUCAGUUGUGAAAGUUUGCGGCUCAACCGUAAAAUUGCAGUUGAUACUGGGAGUCUUGAGGACAGUAGAGGUAGGCGGAAUUCGUGGUGUAGCGGUGAAAUGCUUAGAUAUCACGAAGAACUCCGAUUGCGAAGGCAGCUUACUAAACUGCCACUGACGUUGAUGCUCGAAAGUGUGGGUAUCAAACAGGAUUAGAUACCCGAGUAGUC
rnacentral:rRNA from 1 species